UACGUAGGGUGCAAGCGUUAAUCGGAAUUACUGGGCGUAAAGCGUGCGCAGGCGGUUAUGUAAGACAGUUGUGAAAUCCCCGGGCUCAACCUGGGAACUGCAUCUGUGACUGCAUAGCUAGAGUACGGUAGAGGGGGAUGGAAUUCCGCGUGUAGCAGUGAAAUGCGUAGAGAUGCGGAGGAACACCGAUGGCGAAGGCAGCCCCCUGGGCUAACACUGACGCUCAGGCACGAAAGCGUGGGGAGCAAACAGG
rnacentral:rRNA from 1 species